UACUGAUGUGCGCAUGCGUACACAUAGUUGGCGCUUUUUUUUCUUCUUCUUCUUCUUUUUUGGCCGGAAAGAGCCAGAGGAAAGUUCCAGAAGCGGAGCGGUAGGUUCCCUCCCGCUGUUGCGUCUUUGCAGCAUUAACGAAAUACUUGUUAGUUGAUCGUCUACCAGAGAAGGGAUUGGAUUGGAAAACAACAGCUUUAUUUAGGGUGCCAAUACAGUGGACAGUUCAGGCGUAGGAAGGAAGACGUGGAUAGGUUUCUCAACCCUCUUUAAGAAAGAAACAGUAGGUACGUCAUGUAAUGACAUGGUCAUGCAAACUUUGUAGCUUUGGGUCAUCAAAACGUUUGGAGCUCCUGAAGCAUUACAGAUUAAAACAUUUACGUUCCACUCAAAGCCAGAGAGUACCAUGUCUAUAUUUGGAUUGUCCUUGCUCUUUUAAACGUUGGGGUGCACUUCGUGCACAUUUAUCUAGAGAUCACAGACAAACUGAACAGGUCGAGCAAAGUGGUACCUUUUUUUGUCUUGUUUGCAAUUCAUAUGGUUUUGACACAGAGAAGCAGUACUUUGAACACCUCGGAACUCAUUUAAAAAAGUUUCAAACAGUUAGUUGUGUUUUUAAAGAUUGUGAAUACCACACGAACAUAUAUUCAACUUUUGCUUCACAUAAAAGUAGAAAACACAGUCCUCAUUGCCUUGAUGAUUUUAAACAUGAUGUAUUUCAGACAUGUGGAAGGCAGGCAGCAGAUGAAAGUUUAAGUUUGGUAGAUAAUAGGGAAAUUACUGACGAAGAAACAAUAGUUGAUGAGGGUGAAGAUUUAGUCAAAGCUAUUAUUGACCAUUUAGGUUCCUUGUUAUUAAAAUUAGACUGCAUCUUCAAUGUACCAGGUAGAUGUAUAGAUGAAAUUGUUGAAGAAUUUCAGUUUAUUACUUGUUCAGCAUCAGCACCUGUGAUUAAAAGAAUUGUUCUUGACACAUUGGAAAAGCACAACUGUGCUGUUGAACAAAAAGUGAUAUCAGAUUUAGUAAGAAGCAUUUGCCUGUUAAACCCUGUCAAUGCAGCAUUUAAGGAGGAAGGUCCUCUUGGCACUUCCUACCAGAGAAACAAAUACCUAAAAGAACAUUUUUUUAUUGUUGAACCUGUAGAGUACAUAUUGGAUGCUAAAGAGGGUAAGACAUUCCAAUAUGUUCCAAUUCUUCAAUCCCUAUCCCAAAUUCUAAAUAAUUCUGAUAUUUUGGAAAAAGUGUUCAAGAGUCAAGAAAGGUGUGGUUUGUCUUCUCGAUAUUCAAGUUUUUAUGACGGUUCACAUUUUAAGGAAAACAGCUUUCUCUCUGGAGAAGAGUUAAGGCUGUCACUUCUUCUCUAUUGUGACGAUUUCGAGAUCUGUAAUCCUUUAGGUACCUCUCGUAAAAAGCACAAGGUAACAGGUAUCUAUUGGGUGUUGGCUGAUAUUCCAGCAGUGUUAAGGUCUGCAUUAUCUUCAAUUUACCUAGCUGUUUUGUGUAAGGCAGGUGAUGUACAGAAAUUUGGAUAUGAGCAAGUUCUUGAACCACUCUUAAGUGAUCUAAAAACAUUUGAAGAACAUGGUGUUUUCGUUCCUCUGUUAGGAAAGGCAGUAAAAGGAACAGUUUUUUCUGUAAUAGCGGAUAAUCUUGGUGCCCACUCACUUGGGGGUUUUGUUGAAAGUUUUAGUGGGUCAUAUUCUUGUAGAUAUUGUAUUGCAGAGCGUUCCCAGUUUAGGGAUAUUGAAGUCAGGUCAGGAGUGUUUCCUGUUAGAACAAAACAGCAACAUCUGUUGGAUGUUGAAACAGCUUUGGCUAAUAACACUCAUUGCCACGGAGUUAAAAGACACUGUCCAAUCACUCAAAAAUUAAAACAUUUUCAUGUAACAACAGGGUAUGCACCUGACGUGUUACAUGAUCUACUCGAAGGCAUUGUCCCUUUAGAAUUGGCAUUGUGUUUCAACAUCUUGAUUAAAAAAAAUAUUUCUCAUUUCAGGAGCUCAAUACAAUCAUUAAAAAAUUUCCAUACAAAGGGAAAGACAAGACUAACUGUCCACAGGGUGUACCUCCAACAUUUGCCUCUCGCAAAACUAUUGGAGGUAAUGCACACGAAAAUUGGUGCUUGUUGAGGCUACUUCCCCUGAUGAUUGGUUGCAAGGUACCAAAAGAAGAACAAGCAUGGCAACUGUUGAUGACACUCAAAGAUAUUGUUGAAAUUGUAAUGUCGCCUGACCACACAGAUCAAAGCAUUGGUUUCCUAGAUAGUCUGAUCUCUGAGCAUAGACUAAGAUUUACCCUUGUGUUUCCGGAGGAAAAAUUGAUUCCCAAGCACCAUUUUGUUGAGCAUUACCCACAACUCAUUAAAUCUUUUGGUCCACUGGUCUCCCUGUGGUCCAUGAGGUUUGAAGCCAAGCAUCACUUUUUCAAAAAAGUUGUGAGACAAACAAGUUGCUUUCGGAACAUCUUAAAAUCAAUGGCAAAAAAACACCAGUCCAUGAUAGCCUUCCACCUUCAUGGUUCAAAACUUAAAAAAAUCUCCCUUCUCUGUGUCAAAAACAUCUCGAGUACCUUUAGAGGUUGUAAAUGAAAUUCUCCAAGAAUUUAUGAAACAAAAAUUUCCUGGAAAAAAGAUGGUGAAUUUAGUUGAAAAGGCAGAAUGCCAGGGGACCACUUAUAGUAUUGGUAUGAUGCUGGUCUACGAUUCCACUGAUGAGCUGCCAGAUUUCGCAGAAAUAUUACAAACAGUUGUAGUUUGUGAUAGUUUGAUCUUUGUUGUGAAACUGCACACUUCUUGGUACUGUGAGCAUUUAAGAUCUUUCAAGCUUGAGUCCACAAGCACUCUAAAAGUCCUUCAGCACUCACAGCUGAAAGAUGUUUAUCCUUUGGUUACUUACUCUGUGGGAGGGGAUCGAAUGGUUUCUCUAAAACAUCACAUCUCUUUUGAUAGCAAGCUUUGAAAAGAUGCCUUGUACUGCUGCUCAGCUGCGCGUCAUCAUCGAGGAGACCCAAAUUCACAAAAUGCACCUUCCAAAUGGAAUCCCAACCACAGUGGAAGAACUGCUUUCGGCAGUAAAGCUUCAUUUCUGCCUCGAUGGGAACAUUGCACUUAUGUAUAUGGACAAAGAUUUUGGCAAUGAGUUUUUUACUCUCACAUCCACCAAUGAGCUGAGGGACAAAGACACUUUAAAAGUUGUUGACAGAGAACCACCAGUUAUUAUUACACUGGCUCCUGUUACUGACAAUUCAACAUCUUCUCAAGGGUCACUUAAUGAGUCUGCUUCAGAUAACAGUUCUUUGGUAAAUUGUUCAGACACCUUCAGUUUUCCACAGCCUCCAGAGUUUCGUUCACAAACCUGGCCUACUAAUUUUUCAAUACCUUCAUUUUCUUUUGAUGUUGAGUUGCUUCUCCAAGAAGGGAAUAAGGCAUGUGGAAAGGAUGGCUCUCUCAUUCAGAAUCCAUCUUUGAAGUCUGACAUUCUUGAAAAACUUGCUGAAGAAAUUUUUCAGUACACUGCCUAUCCCUCAGGUCUGCAAAUACUAGCAGUUGUUGAAGCGCUGCUAAAAAAGCAUCCAUGCCUGCAAGAGCCAGGAACUUCAUUCUCUGGAUUGUAUGGAUGGCAGCAGCGUCUGAAGUACAAAAUGGCUAAUUUCCGAUCAAAACUAAGAAAGCGAAAGGUACCGUGUCCUGAACUUGACAUAAACUCAUUUCAUGGAAAGACACACAACAGAACUUCCCCCAAGAUCUACAAGAAACCAAAGAGAGCUGAGGUAAAUUACCUCCCUCCUCAUCCAAGUGGGGAAACAGUUGAGACUCUUGAACUUAUUAGAAAAGAGCUUCUUGAGGAUGUAAAGAAGAAAAACAACGCCAAAGAGAUCCAGGAAAAGAUGGCUGCAACCUUCUCCAGCCGAAGGCUUGAAGUAGUGAAGUCCAGCCCUGCCAUAAAAGAUUUCCUGGAGAGAUGGCCUGCUUUAUUUUCUGAAACUGAGAUCAAAGAGGAAUUCAACCGGCUAACAACCAUUUCGCUGGAACAGAAAUUCAUGUUCAACUUGGACAAAUAUACACCAAAACUUAUUGGUCUGAUGGAGGCAAAAGGAGGGACCAUUGGGAGAAAGCUAAAGCCAAUCGUGCAAAAACUUAGACAGAACCUGCGCAUCGGGAUGAAACGUGAAGCUGUGAUCCACGGCCUAGUCCUGUACCUUGGUGAGAUGCAAGAGGAACUCUUCAAGGAAUGCCAU